rnacentral:rRNA from 1 species
ACCCUGGUAGUCCACACAGUAAACGAUGAAUACUCGCUGUUUGCGAUAUACAGUAAGCGGCCAAGCGAAAGCAUUAAGUAUUCCACCUGGGGAGUACGCCGGCAACGGUGAAACUCAAAGGAAUUGACGGGGGCCCGCACAAGCGGAGGAACAUGUGGUUUAAUUCGAUGAUACGCGAGGAACCUUACCCGGGCUUAAAUUGCAAAUGAAUUAUGGGGAAACCCAUACGCCGCAAGGCAUUUGUGAAGGUGCUGCAUGGUUGUCGUCAGCUCGUGCCGUGAGGUGUCGGCUUAAGUGCCAUAACGAGCGCAACCCUUAUCUUCAGUUACUAACAGGUCAUGCUGAGGACUCUGGAGAGACUGCCGUCGUAAGAUGUGAGGAAGGUGGGGAUGACGUCAAAUCAGCACGGCCCUUACGUCCGGGGCUACACACGUGUUACAAUGGGGGGUACAGAAGGCCGCUACCUGGUGACAGGAUGCCAAUCCCAAAAACCUCUCUCAGUUCGGAUCGAAGUCUGCAACCCGACUUCGUGAAGCUGGAUUCGCUAGUAAUCGCGCAUCAGCCAUGGCGCGGUGAAUACGUUCCCGGGCCUUGUACACACCGCCCGUCAAGCCAUGAAAGCCGGGGGUACCUGAAGUACGUAACCGCAAGGAGCGUCCUAGGGUAAAACUGGUAAUUGGGGCUAAGUCGUAACAAGGUAGCCGUACCGGAAGGUGCGGCUG